CCUACGGGAGGCAGCAGUGGGGAAUCUUGGACAAUGGGCGCAAGCCUGAUCCAGCCAUGCCGCGUGAGUGAAGAAGGCCUUCGGGUUGUAAAGCUCUUUUGUCAGGGACGAUAAUGACGGUACCUGAAGAAUAAGCCCCGGCAAACUUCGUGCCAGCAGCCGCGGUAAUACGAAGGGGGCUAGCGUUGUUCGGAUUUACUGGGCGUAAAGCGUACGUAGGCGGAUUGUUAAGUGAGAGGUGAAAUCCCAGGGCUCAACCCUGGAACUGCCUUUCAUACUGGCAAUCUCGAGUUCGGAAGAGGUGAGUGGAAUUCCUAGUGUAGAGGUGAAAUUCGUAGAUAUUAGGAAGAACACCGGUGGCGAAGGCGGCUCACUGGUCCGAUACUGACGCUGAGGUACGAAAGCGUGGGGAGCAAACAGGAUUAGAUACCCUGGUAGUCCACGCCGUAAACUAUGGGUGCUAGCCGUUGGAAAGCUUGCUUUUCAGUGGCGCAGCUAACGCAUUAAGCACCCCGCCUGGGGAGUACGGUCGCAAGNUUAAAACUCAAAUGAAUUGACGGCUGAGACGNGCGACGACGACGACGAGGAGAG
rnacentral:rRNA from 1 species